rnacentral:lncRNA from 1 species
UCAAGCCCUCAUAUGGGCAUUGUUUAAAGAUAGAGUUAAUAAUAAAAUCAGUACUAUCCUUGAUUCUCAGCAAACCAUCAAUAAAUGCCCUUCCAGAGUUUCUCAAUUUUAAUAGAUUACAUGAAUGGAUAGAUAAUAGAUUAGAUAUAUUGACAGAUGAAUAAUAUAGAUUGGAUAGAUGGACAGUUAGGUAACAGAUUAGAUCAUUUAUAUCCUUUCCUAAUUUAAUCCUUAAAAUAACUCUUCUAUCAAGUGGAUAUUCUCCCUCUGAAGUUAUCUGUGACUCAACAUGUCCCCAUCUUCUGCUCUAUUCUCCAGCUUCCAUAACGUGAUUUAGUAACAUCAUCAUGAAUCAAUCAAUAUCUCUGUCUCUCUAUCAUUCUGUCCUGCUCUUCUCUCCCCAUGUUCUCACUCCCACAUGCAGACACACACAUGUGUACACAUGUCACACACAUACAUAUAAAAUAUGUUUUCCAAGGUGCUUGUACUCUCCCCAUCUCUUUCAGGGACACCAAUGAAUCAUAGAUUUAGUCUUCUUACAUAAUCUCAUAUUUCUCAAAGGUUUUGUUUAUUCUUUUUUGUUCUCUUUUCUCUAUUCUUGUUGACUGUCUUAUUAGCAAGGGGUUCACACUCUCAGCUGUGGCAGGCUGCUAGCAGAUGCAGAGGUGCCUGCUUCCACGCAGGUGUCCAUCACGGUAGUGGAGGCAACACAGCUGGUUGGGCUUGGUCCAAGCCCGAAAGCCUCAGAACUAGGGGAGCUGAUAAUGUAACUCUUAGUUUGAGUCCAAAGGCCAAAGAACCUGGAAGCCUGCUAGUGCAAGUCCUGAAUCCAAAGCUCAUCAUAACUCUUGAAGAACCUGGAGUUAUGAUGCCCAAGGGCAAGUCAACUGAUGCCAAUUACCUGCUGAAUUAGGGAGAUUUCCAAGCCCUCCCUGACAUAUGCUGCUCACUGUUCACCCCCUCAAAUCUCAGUUCGUGUUAGUCUUCACAUGCUUUGAUCCUUUCCCGCCUAUCCCUGUCUCCUUGAAGGAACACUGCCUUGAUUCAAUGACGAAUGAUAUGUAUGCUAUGCUAGUGAAGUCUGAAUCUUCAGGAAACUAUAUUUAAUAUUAGUUUCUGUAAAAUAAGCAUUUAAAAUAAAUUGAAGAAAAAUAUUUAGCACGUCAGAUUAUUUUAAUUGCUAGUUAUAUAAAUCUGAUUAUACUAGCUUAA